rnacentral:rRNA from 1 species
CCCCUAGAUGUUCUGGGCCGCACGCGCGCUACACUGAACAGUUCAACAAGUCUUAACCUUGGCCGAUAGGUCUGGGUAAUCUUUGAACGCUGUUCGUGAUUGGGAUAGACCUUUGCAAUUAUGGGUCUUCAACGAGGAAUUCCUAGUAAACGCAAGUCAUCAGCUUGCAUUGAUUACGUCCCUGCCCUUUGUACGCACCGCCCGUCGCACCUACCGAUUGAAUGGUCCGGUGAAAUCUCGGGACGGCGGCUCGGUCGCUUGCGUCCGACUGCUGAAACUUGAUUAAACCAUAUCAUUUAGAGGAAGGUGAAGUCGUAACA